rnacentral:rRNA from 1 species
CCUACGGGUGGCAGCAGUGAGGAAUAUUGGUCAAUGGGCGGAAGCCUGAACCAGCCAAGUAGCGUGCAGGAUGACGGCCCUACGGGUGGUAAACUUCUUUUGUCGGGGAAUAAAAUGUUCCACGUGUGGGGUUUUGUAUGUACCAUAUGAAUAAGGAUCGGCUAACUCCGUUCCAGCAGCCGCGGUAAUACGGAGGAUCCGAGCGUUAUCCGGAUUUAUUGGGUUUAAAGGGAGAGUCGGUGGGUUGUUAAGUCAGUUGGGAAAGUUGGGGGGUCAACCGUCAGAUUGCAGUUGAAACUGGAAGUCUUGAGUACAGUAGAGGUAGGCGGAAUGCGUGGUGUAGCGGUGAAAUGCAUAGAUAUCACGAAGAACUCCGAUUGCGAAGGCAGCUUACUGGAGUGCAACUGACGCUGAGGCUCGAAAGUGUGGGUAUCAAACAGGAUUAGAUACCCUGGUAGUC